CCUACGGGAGGCAGCAGUGGGGAAUUUUGGACAAUGGGCGCAAGCCUGAUCCAGCAAUGCCGCGUGCAGGAUGAAGGCCUUCGGGUUGUAAACUGCUUUUUGUACGGAACGAAACGGUCCUUUCUAAUACAAGGGGCUAAUGACGGUACCGUAAGAAUAAGCACCGGCUAACUACGUGCCAGCAGCCGCGGUAAUACGUAGGGUGCGAGCGUUAAUCGGAAUUACUGGGCGUAAAGCGUGCGCAGGCGGUUUAUAUAAGACAGAUGUGAAAUCCCCGGGCUCAACCUGGGACCUGCAUUUGUGACUGUAUAGCUAGAGUACGGUAGAGGGGGAUGGAAUUCCGCGUGUAGCAGUGAAAUGCGUAGAUAUGCGGAGGAACACCGAUGGCGAAGGCAAUCCCCUGGACCUGUACUGACGCUCAUGCACGAAAGCGUGGGGAGCAAACAGGAUUAGAUACCCUGGUAGUCCACGCCCUAAACGAUGUCAACUGGUUNUUGGGUCUUCACUGACUCAGUACGAAGCUAACGCGUGAAGUUGACCGCCUGGGGAGUACGGCCGCAAGGUUGAAACUCAAAUGAAUUGACCGGNNGAGAGNGCGAGGACGACGACGAGGGAGGAGG
rnacentral:rRNA from 1 species